rnacentral:lncRNA from 1 species
CUCUUCUCUUUGCCUACUGCCAUCCAUUUAAGACAUGACUUGCUCCUCCUUCCCUUCCACCACGAUUGUGAGGCUUCCCCAGCCAUGUGGAACUCAUGAACUCUUCUGGAAAUAGCCCUUACCUGAGCAAAUGGAACCAUAAACACCAAUGGAGAAAGAUGUAGAACUUCUUCUCGUGCCCUCGCAGGCAUCUCGCAUUGUCAGGAAUUGGUUCUUAGGUCACAGGUGAUGAAAAGACUCAAUAUAGACUCUACUUGCAAGCAUAGAGGAAUUUGAAAUGCUCAGUUCACCAACUCUCAUACUUUGUUUAGUUGUUUGCUAUUCAUUUAGUUGAUCCUCAAACUGCCGGGGUUGGGGGGUGGUGUGAGACAUAUGGAAAGUUAUUCAACGUCGCAAAAUGGCAUAAGGAAGUAAAACAACUCAGUUGUGCACCGUUGUGGUAAUUGGAACGUGUUUUACAAGCCUUGGAGUUCCUUGGUCCUUGGGCCAUAAAGCCCCAGCUAUGUGGAUAUAAGUUGAGUCUGACAGCUAACUAAUAAAAUAUGUCUUAGGACAAUAGACUCAC